rnacentral:misc_RNA from 1 species
CCAGUAAAAAGUUAUGAGGUAUAAUACAACGUAAGGUGACGAAAAUAAUGUCAAGUAAAUACGCGUUAUCAAAGAUUAAUCAAAAAGUAGUUAUCAAAUCUCGAUAAAAUUUAUAUGUGACCACAUGAUAAACAUCAGCUUUCGAUUAAAGUAAAAAUUAUCAAAAUCGAUACACCCAGUAAAAAGUUAUUGCGGAUUUUCAAGAGUUUCUCUCGAUUUCUCUGAGAUCCCAUCAUCAGAUCCUGGUUUCCUUAUCAUGGUACCAAACUAGGGAUAUCCCCUUUCCAACAAAAAAAGAAUUAUCAAAAUCGGUACACCCAGUAGAAAGUUAUGUGGUAUAAUACAACGUAGGUCGACGAAAAAAGCGUCAAGUAAAAACACAUUAUUAGAUAUAAUUCGAAAAGUAGUUGUUAGAUCUCAAAUAAAUUUAAAUGGGACCAAUUGGCACACACCACCUUUCGAUUAAAACAAAAUUUGUCGAAAUCGGUCCACACGGGCAAAAGUUCUGAUGUAACAUACAUAAAAAAAAAAUAAAUAAAUAAAAAAUACAGUCGAAUUGAGAACCUCCUCCUUUUUU